AGCAUCGGGACUCUCCCAGCCGGACGCGGUGAAAUGCCUUAACUUACCAGUCCGACGCCUGGGUUUCCUCCGUCUCUGUGGGCUCUGGUUGAGCAGAUGGCAAAGGUUAUCGUCCCUUUUGGCUUUCCAAAUGUCAGAUCGAUGUUUAUUCAGUGCAUCUGUGGGUGAAGGGAGUAUCAAGAACUUCCUAUUUUGACAUGUUGCUGACAUCACUCCUCUGAUGACUGUCUUUAAUACUGAAAUUUGGGUGAGGAGGCACUCAUAUGGAAUACAGAAAAUGCAGGCAAUCAUGAAAGAUUUUAUGCAACAGAACUCAGUGGGACACCUGGGACUCUU